CAGGCUUAACACAUGCAAGUCGAGGGGCAGCAUGGUCUUAUGCUUGCUAAGGCCGAUGGCGACCGGCGCACGGGUGAGUAACGCGUAUCCAACCUGCCUUACACUCUUGGACAGCCUUCUGAAAGGGAGAUUAAUACAAGAUGUUAUCAUGAGUAAGCAUUUUCGCAUGAUUAAAGGUUUACCGGUGUAAGAUGGGGAUGCGUUCCAUUAGAUAGUAGGCGGGGUAACGGCCCACCUAGUCUUCGAUGGAUAGGGGUUCUGAGAGGAAGGUCCCCCACAUUGGAACUGAGACACGGUCCAAACUCCUACGGGAGGCAGCAGUGAGGAAUAUUGGUCAAUGGACGAGAGUCUGAACCAGCCAAGUAGCGUGAAGGAUGAAGGUUCUAUGGAUUGUAAACUUCUUUUAUACGGGAAUAAACGAAUCCACGUGUGGAUUUUUGCAUGUACCGUAUGAAUAAGGAUCGGCUAACUCCGUGCCAGCAGCCGCGGUAAUACGGAGGAUCCGAGCGUUAUCCGGAUUUAUUGGGUUUAAAGGGAGCGUAGAUGGGUUGUUAAGUCAGUUGUGAAAGUUUGCGGCUCAACCGUAAAAUUGCAAUUGAUACUGGCAGUCUUGAGUACAGUUGAGGUAGGCGGAAUUCGUGGUGUAGCGGUGAAAUGCUUAGAUAUCACGAAGAACUCCGAUUGCGAAGGCAGCUUACUAACCUGUAACUGACAUUGAUGCUCGAAAGUGUGGGUAUCAAACAGGAUUAGAUACCCUGGUAGUCCACACGGUAAACGAUGAAUACUCGCUGUAGGCGAUAUACAGUCUGCGGCCAAGCGAAAGCAUUAAGUAUUCCACCUGGGGAGUACGCCGGCAACGGUGAAACUCAAAGGAAUUGACGGGGGCCCGCACAAGCGGAGGAACAUGUGGUUUAAUUCGAUGAUACGCGAGGAACCUUACCCGGGCUUAAAUUGCAACCGAAUAUGGCGGAAACGCUAUAGCUAGCAAUAGCGGUUGUGAAGGUGCUGCAUGGUUGUCGUCAGCUCGUGCCGUGAGGUGUCGGCUUAAGUGCCAUAACGAGCGCAGCCCUUGCCGAUAGUUACUAACAGGUCAUGCUGAGGACUCUGUCGGGACUGCCAUCGUAAGAUGUGAGGAAGGUGGGGAUGACGUCAAAUCAGCACGGCCCUUACGUCCGGGGCUACACACGUGUUACAAUGGGGGGUACAGAGGGCUGCUACCACGCAAGUGGAUGCCAAUCCCAAAAACCUCUCUCAGUUCGGAUUGAAGUCUGCAACCCGACUUCAUGAAGCUGGAUUCGCUAGUAAUCGCGCAUCAGCCACGGCGCGGUGAAUACGUUCCCGGGCCUUGUACACACCGCCCGUCAAGCCAUGGGAGCCGGGGGUACCUGAAGUGCGUAACCGCAAGGAGCGCCCUAGGGUAAAACUGGUGACUGGGGCUAA
rnacentral:rRNA from 1 species